CGAGCGAACGGACGAGAAGCUUGCUUCUCUGAUGUUAGCGGCGGACGGGUGAGUAACACGUGGAUAACCUACCUAUAAGACUGGGAUAACUUCGGGAAACCGGAGCUAAUACCGGAUAAUAUUUUGAACCGCAUGGUUCAAAAGUGAAAGACGGUCUUGCUGUCACUUAUAGAUGGAUCCGCGCUGCAUUAGCUAGUUGGUAAGGUAACAGCUUACCGAGGCAACGAUGCAUAGCCGACCUGAGAGGGUGAUCGGCCACACUGGAACUGAGACACGGUCCAGACUCCUACGGGAGGCAGCAGUAGGGAAUCUUCCGCAAUGGGCGAAAGCCUGACGGAGCAACGCCGCGUGAGUGAUGAAGGUCUUCGGAUCGUAAAACUCUGUUAUUAGGGAAGAACAUAUGUGUAAGUAACUGUGCACAUCUUGACGGUACCUAAUCAGAAAGCCACGGCUAACUACGUGCCAGCAGCCGCGGUAAUACGUAGGUGGCAAGCGUUAUCCGGAAUUAUUGGGCGUAAAGCGCGCGUAGGCGGUUUUUUAAGUCUGAUGUGAAAGCCCACGGCUCAACCGUGGAGGGUCAUUGGAAACUGGAAAACUUGAGUGCAGAAGAGGAAAGUGGAAUUCCAUGUGUAGCGGUGAAAUGCGCAGAGAUAUGGAG
rnacentral:rRNA from 1 species